GACAGAGGGUGCGAACGUUGUUCGGAAUUACUGGGCGUAAAGCGCGUGUAGGCGGCAGCGCAAGUCGGGCGUGAAAUCCCACGGCUCAACCGUGGAAGUGCACUCGAAACUGCGCAGCUAGAGUCCUGGAGAGGAAGGUGGAAUGCUUGGUGUAGAGGUGAAAUUCGUAGAUAUCGGGAGGAACACCAGUGGCGAAGGCGGCGAUCUGGACAGAUAUUGACGCUGAGGUGCGAAAGCGUGGGGAGCAAACAGG
rnacentral:rRNA from 1 species